CGAGCGGACAGAAGGGAGCUUGCUCCCGGAUGUUAGCGGCGGACGGGUGAGUAACACGUGGGUAACCUGCCUGUAAGACUGGGAUAACUCCGGGAAACCGGAGCUAAUACCGGAUAGUUCCUUGAACCGCAUGGUUCAAGGAUGAAAGACGGUUUCGGCUGUCACUUACAGAUGGACCCGCGGCGCAUUAGCUAGUUGGUGAGGUAACGGCUCACCAAGGCGACGAUGCGUAGCCGACCUGAGAGGGUGAUCGGCCACACUGGGACUGAGACACGGCCCAGACUCCUACGGGAGGCAGCAGUAGGGAAUCUUCCGCAAUGGACGAAAGUCUGACGGAGCAACGCCGCGUGAGUGAUGAAGGUUUUCGGAUCGUAAAGCUCUGUUGUUAGGGAAGAACAAGUGCAAGAGUAACUGCUUGCACCUUGACGGUACCUAACCAGAAAGCCACGGCUAACUACGUGCCAGCAGCCGCGGUAAUACGUAGGUGGCAAGCGUUGUCCGGAAUUAUUGGGCGUAAAGGGCUCGCAGGCGGUUUCUUAAGUCUGAUGUGAAAGCCCCCGGCUCAACCGGGGAGGGUCAUUGGAAACUGGGAAACUUGAGUGCAGAAGAGGAGAGUGGAAUUCCACGUGUAGCGGUGAAAUGCGUAGAGAUGUGGAGGAACACCAGUGGCGAAGGCGACUCUCUGGUCUGUAACUGACGCUGAGGAGCGAAAGCGUGGGGAGCGAACAGGAUUAGAUACCCUGGUAGUCCACGCCGUAAACGAUGAGUGCUAAGUGUUAGGGGGUUUCCGCCCCUUAGUGCUGCAGCUAACGCAUUAAGCACUCCGCCUGGGGAGUACGGUCGCAAGACUGAAACUCAAAGGAAUUG
rnacentral:rRNA from 1 species